rnacentral:rRNA from 1 species
CCGUGAACCUUUACUAUAGCUUGACACUGAACAUUGAGCCUUGAUGUGUAGGAUAGGUGGGAGGCUUUGAAGUGUGGACGCCAGUCUGCAUGGAGCCGACCUUGAAAUACCACCCUUUAAUGUUUGAUGUUCUAACGUUGACCCGUGAUCCGGGUUGCGGACAGUGUCUGGUGGGUAGUUUGACUGGGGCGGUCUCCUCCUAAAGAGUAACGGAGGAGCACGAAGGUUGGCUAAUCCUGGUCGGACAUCAGGAGGUUAGUGCAAUGGCAUAAGCCAGCUUGACUGCGAGCGUGACGGCGCGAGCAGGUGCGAAAGCAGGUCAUAGUGAUCCGGUGGUUCUGAAUGGAAGGGCCAUCGCUCAACGGAUAAAAGGUACUCCGGGGAUAACAGGCUGAUACCGCCCAAGAGUUCAUAUCGACGGCGGUGUUUGGCACCUCGAUGUCGGCUCAUCACAUCCUGGGGCUGAAGUAGGUCCCAAGGGUAUGGCUGUUCGCCAUUUAAAGUGGUACGCGAGCUGGGUUUAGAACGUCGUGAGACAGUUCGGUCCCUA